rnacentral:snRNA from 1 species
AUGCAGGCGCACAGGUGCACAUACACUCAAAUUAGAAUGACACAGAGAAAAUUAGCGUCACCCCUGCACAAGAAUCACAUACACAU